AUCAGUUUGCUUGUCUUGGCGUGAAAAUGCAGUCAAAACGUCGGCGAGGAAGCGACGCCAGAAUGCCUCCGAACAUGCGAAAAAGCCUUCGCAACGAACAAACAGCCUGCCCCAUUCGAUGGCAACACUUGCUAUUUGACCAAUAAGUUGAUUUCCGGCCCAGUCGAGUUGUAUUUUCCACGCAGAGUGGACGCGCACUUCAAGCGACACAUUUCCAGCGCCAAUUUUUGCAGCAAAUAAAUCGCCGCUCCUCUCGCGUCGGGCCCAUUCUUCACAAAUAUAACUUAUUUGACGUUUGAAAAGAGAUAAGACGAGCUUUGUCUCAAAUAAGUAACAUUUGAUGACGGAAGAAGACUAGACUGGGAACCGUGAUGGGCUGUGCCUCAUAAGCAACGUGGAAUGGUGAAGAAACCCUGGACAGGCAAAACCUGGAAUCAUUUUUUUAACUGCACACAAGACCAGCAGUGACUUCCGAGUCUCAGUCAGCACCACGGACAGUGGUCAAAGCGCCUCACAGCAAACAAGGAGAUGUUUACUGCUUCCAGGACAUUAGAACUC